CCACUGUUGACACCGUUGAUGAGGCAGCACUCUUCGCAUUUGCGUGACACUCACGAACACGCAAGCAACUUGCACACAAGCAGAAAUGAAGGCCAUUGACGAAAGCUCUGUCGAUGCAUUUACUUUAAAUGAUUACAUUGCAACGGAAUGAGUCUUCCAGCAUAUCUAGUAUAUCUAGUAAAGCGUAAAUAUAUUCACGGGUUAAGUAAGGGAGUCAUCUAAUGUGAUACAUCAGAAGACGGCUCGAGUGUCUGAAAGUUUAUAGUUGGAGAAAACAAGAUGUAUUAAACUCGAGAAGAUGAAGAAUAAUGAGAUUUCAAUUAUCUUAUAGUAUUCUCCAACUGCUAAUAGAGCUAGCCCGUCUGUUGAAGGAAAGUUUCCUGACUGAAUAAAAUAUAAAUUUAUAAUACCUAAUCGUUAUUUUAAACUCGAUAAAUAUUUGAUAAAAGUACUCUCAAGUGUUAUUUUAUUUAGAAGAAAAGAA